rnacentral:rRNA from 1 species
UAGUGUUGUUGGGUAGGGGAGCGUUCUGUAAGCCGUUGAAGGUGUCCUGUGAGGGGUGCUGGAGGUAUCAGAAGUGCGAAUGCUGACAUAAGUAACGAUAAAGCGGGUGAAAAGCCCGCUCGCCGGAAGACCAAGGGUUCCUGUCCAACGUUAAUCGGGGCAGGGUGAGUCGACCCCUAAGGCGAGGCCGAAAGGCGUAGUCGAUGGGAAACGGGUUAAUAUUCCCGUACUUGGUGUUACUGCGAAGGGGGGACGGAGAAGGCUAUGUUGGCCGGGCGACGGUAGUCCCGGUUUAAGCGUGUAGGUGUGUGUUCCAGGCAAAUCCGGUUCACUUUAACACUGAGGCGUGAUGACGAGGCACCACGGUGCUGAAGCAACAAAUGCCCUGCUUCCAGGAAAAGCCUCUAAGCAUCAGGUAACAUCAAAUCGUACCCCAAACCGACACAGGUGGUCAGGUAGAGAAUACCAAGGCGCUUGAGAGAACUCGGGUGAAGGAACUAGGCAAAAUGGUGCCGUAACUUCGGGAGAAGGCACGCUGACACGUAGGUGAAGUGAUUUACUCACGGAGCUGAAGUCAGUCGAAGAUACCAGCUGGCUGCAACUGUUUAUUAAAAACACAGCACUGUGCAAACACGAAAGUGGACGUAUACGGUGUGACGCCUGCCCGGUGCCGGAAGGUUAAUUGAUGGGGUCAGCGCAAGCGAAGCUCCUGAUCGAAGCCCCGGUAAACGGCGGCCGUAACUAUAACGGUCCUAAGGUAGCGAAAUUCCUUGUCGGGUAAGUUCCGACCUGCACGAAUGGCGUAAUGAUGGCCAGGCUGUCUCCACCCGAGACUCAGUGAAAUUGAACUCGCUGUGAAGAUGCAGUGUACCCGCGGCAAGACGGAAAGACCCCGUGAACCUUUACUAUAGCUUGACACUGAACAUUGAGCCUUGAUGUGUAGGAUAGGUGGGAGGCUUUGAAGCGUGGACGCCAGUCUGCGUGGAGCCGACCUUGAAAUACCACCCUUUAAUGUUUGAUGUUCUAACGUGGACCCGUAAUCCGGGUUGCGGACAGUGUCUGGUGGGUAGUUUGACUGGGGCGGUCUCCUCCUAAAGAGUAACGGAGGAGCACGAAGGUUGGCUAAUCCUGGUCGGACAUCAGGAGGUUAGUGCAAUGGCAUAAGCCAGCUUGACUGCGAGCGUGACGGCGCGAGCAGGUGCGAAAGCAGGUCAUAGUGAUCCGGUGGUUCUGAAUGGAAGGGCCAUCGCUCAACGGAUAAAAGGUACUCCGGGGAUAACAGGCUGAUACCGCCCAAGAGUUCAUAUCGACGGCGGUGUUUGGCACCUCGAUGUCGGCUCAUCACAUCCUGGGGCUGAAGUAGGUCCCAAGGGUAUGGCUGUUCGCCAUUUAAAGUGGUACGCGAGCUGGGUUUAGAACGUCGUGAGACAGUUCGGUCCCUAUCUGCCGUGGGCGCUGGAGAAUUGAGGGGGGCUGCUCCUAGUACGAGAGGACCGGAGUGGACGCAUCACUGGUGUUCGGGUUGUCAUGCCAAUGGCACUGCCCGGUAGCUAAAUGCGGAAAAGAUAAGUGCUGAAAGCAUCUAAGCACGAAACUUGCCCCGAGAUGAGUUCUCCCUGAGACUUUGAGUCUCCUGAAGGAACGUUAAAGACGAUGACGUUGAUAGGCCGGGUGUGUAAGCGCAGCGAUGCGUUGAGCUAACCGGUACUAAUGAACCGUGAGG